rnacentral:rRNA from 1 species
CCUAACCGCAAGGAGGGCGAUUACCACGGCAGGGUUCGGUGACGUGGGGUGG